UACAGAGGUCUCAAGCGUUGUUCGGAUUCAUUGGGCGUAAAGGGUGCGUAGGCGGCGCGGUAAGUCGGGUGUGAAAUUUCGGAGCUUAACUCCGAAACUGCAUUCGAUACUGCGGUGCUUGAGGACUGGAGAGGAGACUGGAAUUCAUGGUGUAGCAGUGAAGUGCGUAGAGAUCAUGAGGAAGACCCGUGGCGAAGGCGGGUCUCUGGACAGUUCCUGACACUGAGGCACGAAGGCCAGGGGAGCAAACGGG
rnacentral:rRNA from 1 species